CUGAAAUUUUGGCAGGAAAAUUAAUGAUUCUCUCUAGGCUUUUCAUACCUUAACUUUGGCACAUUUUCUUUCAAAAAACUAUAAAAAAAUAAAAUGAAUUUAAUUAGCCUUUCAAAACUAUAUGAUUUAAAAAUUAUAAAAAGAAAAGUAAGGGUUAGCUGGCAAAAUGUUUUUAUAGCAAAACAUGGAUAAAACCGGAGAAUUUCCAAUAUCUGUCAAAAAAUCUACAGAAACCUACAUGUCCUGAAUGUGUGAUAAAAUAUAACUAAGUGGUUUAAAGAAAUGUUUAUUGACAUAUUUGUCUUCUCUUACACAUAUUACACAAUUAUUCACAUGUGUGACUCACUCCCAACUCACAUAUUACACACAUACCAUGGCAUCUUGCCAAGGCUUAAGCAAAAUUGUAUUAUACAUAUCUUACUGGACUUAAUUAUAUAUUUCUUGCAAAUGUACAAUAACCAAAACAAUUAAACAUACACAUUAUGAUAACAAGGAUGAAACAAUGAAUUCUAAGAAGUCAAUACUAAAAUAAGUAAUUACCUUUCAAAAUUAAAGUAUUGACUCAAGAUGAAAUCUUUUUCAUAUGUGAAAACCUAUAAUUUGAUACUAAUUUUUCAUAAGUCGUAAUUAGUUAUUUUUACAUUUACAUUUAUUAAAUUACAAAAGUAUUGAAAAAAAAAAAUCAAUUUUAAGUGAAAAGGCUAGAUCAAUUGAAUAAAUAUGUGCAUUUAUACGAAACUUCUGUUUUAACAACUUCAAGCAUUUACAAAGUUGUCUUAAAAAAUGGAUCAUCUUUCUUCAUAUACAGUUAACUCUCGUUGUCUCGAACUCGGUUGACUCGAAAUUUCGGAUGAGUCGAAGUUUUCACGUGGUCCCGAACUUUAUUCCAUACAAAAGUAUGUAAUUCGACUCCUGAUGAGUCGAAAUUGGAUGAGUCGAAAUUUCGGUUGAGUCGAACUUAAUCUACGGUCCCAAGGUUAACAAAAGCAUUCAAAAUUCAUUUUUUAUCUCGAACUAAUACACAUAUGUCAAAACAUGACCUCCGGGAUUUAAAUGGAUUGAAGGGUUAAUCUGACAAUACACGUGUAAUUAAAUUUCCGGUCAUUGACCACUAUAUUGAUUUAUGACAUGCUAUUUCCAUGAGUGUUUACCUAAGAUUAUCUUUUAUAGAAUUUUGAUAAAUAAUUAGUGAUACAUGGUUAAUGUUCAUGAAAAAGUAUUUAAAAUGUUUACAAAACAAUUAAUUUGUGAUUUACACUAAUGAGCUUGGGUGUGUAUAAAGUGAGGAUUAUGGCUUCCGUUGAUGAUCACCUAAAAACUACUCAAACAGCGUCUUUGAUCUUGUUGAAAAGAAAGAGUGAGAUAAAACAAAAUGAAUAGAAAUCAAAAUUUUCUAAAUCUUUUGUAUCCGAGAAUAAACAAUUUUGUCAGCUAUAAAAUGUAUAACCGACCUGAAUAACGAAACUAUCGAUUGGAAUUUACACUCUUG
rnacentral:lncRNA from 1 species